AGGACUUCCGUCCGCUCCUCCUCAUCCAUGCCCGCACACCAGUCGUUCCCCACAGCACGGGCGGGCCGCCCAUCCUCCCGCCGCCUCCUGCCGUUCGCCGCUCGCAUCAUCCUCCUCUCAGCUUGGCCUCCCCCAUCCUCGCGUCGUUCGCUAGCCGCCCUCCCGCCGUAUGCCGUUCGCUAGAGAUGCGGGCGGACGGUUGGGCUGGCGAGCGGUGGUAGGUUCGUCACGCGACAGGUCGCCUGGGAUGCUAGCCGAUGGAUGCGGGUCAAGCCGACUCGGGCGGCGGCGCAUCUUCGGUAGAGGAGAGGGGAAAAGAAGGAGAGUCCUGGGGGCGGCUGAGGAGGUGCUCGCCGGCGAGCGGGCUCCGACGGCCGCCUGGCGCGCGGGGUUGGAUGGGGGCGUUUCCCGGCAGUCACGGCCGUCCUCGCGACACCAACUAGCCGAAAGCAUCGCCGCUCCCCGCCGCCCGCCGACGCGACGUCGCCUGCCCCUCCUACCCAUGCGACAAUGUUGCUCCUCGGCUCCUCCCCGCGCGACACCGCCUUCCCCAAGAGCGCCCACCCUGUCGUCCUCCUACUCCUCAGUGCCUCCUUCUCGCCUGCCCGCAACACCUUGCCUUGCAGCGGCGCCUGACACACGCACGACCCACACUAGAGCACGCCGCCCCUCGCUGCCCGGUUUUCUUCUUUUCCGUCGCACUGUGCGAAAUCUGCCCCAUGCUCGGUCUGGAUCUACAUAAGCGACUGAGAGAGAGAGAGAGCACAGCGAAGACGCACACUGUGGAUUGUGGAAGAGGAAGAGAACAUGCUGUUGGAUCCGAGCACCUGUCGGAGGAGCAUAGGCAUAAGGAGGCAUCCAUGAGACAAGUUUUUUUAAUUCGUAUUUCUAUGUCUGCAUGAUGACAUUAGUUAACUGGUAAUAGUUCGAUGUGGCGAUUGUUAACUUGUUCCAACUGUGAAAAAUGGUAGUUGUUGCCGGAUGAAUUUCUGGUCUCGCACCUCCUUAUUUUUGGUCUUGCACCAUGGACGGCCUGAACGGCGCUGACGCGUGCUUCUCCGGAGGAGGGCCAUGUGACGGCCAGACCGGCAGACAUAGCCAGGAUAUGCGGUACAAGGGAUUCGAGGCAAAUUGAGGAAGGAGCUGGAGCAGGUGGUGGAUUAAGGAAAGAGCUGGAGCAGAGACGGAUUAGAGCUGCUUAAGUGCAGAUUUUUAGACUAGCCUGCUUGAGUACAUGUUCUUAGAUUGCAUAUGGAAGGGAACUUACGUGCAUGUUGUUUGGAUUGCAGGAUGGAAGGGAACUUAAGUGCAUGUUUUCGGAUUGUACAUGAACUAAGUUCCUGCUGAAAAAUGGUGACUGCAUUUAGAGCUGGCAUUGGUGCUUGGUCAGACAUGGUGUCUUUGUAACUACACUAAGUUCCCUGGUUCUUGCUUAAAAAUGUUUACAAGAUAACAUUUCUAAACAUGAUCUAGAAGCCCUCAAACCAGAUCAAGCUCGGUACAUUGGAAUAAAAAGAAUGACAAGGCAGUUAGAAGUUCAGAAUUCUAUAUAGGAUAUAUAUACUUGGUUGUACCAUAUUUAGCUGAACUAAAGUAGAUGCUCUAACUGUGUUCACAUGAUUUUGAACAGGCCCAUGGAGAGAAGCCCUAAUGUACACCCAAGGUUCAGGGAGGUGAUCCAGGUUUCCAAGAAGGUUAGAAGGUUAGUUGCUUGUGCAAUUGAGUUCAAAUGUAGCUUGUUGCUGGAAGGAGUAGAGUUUGAUUAGAUCGGAUCAACGUUAUUUGGUAUUUUGGUAGUGGUUAAGUAUGGGAUAUGCACCUGCCAUUUUUCUAUGCAUAUUGUUCUGUCCAUGUAUGUUGCAUCCUUUUGACUUAUGUAUGAUGUGUUCAGUGAUGUCAUUGGUGACUCAUGUGAAGUUGCUUUGUUUGAUUCAAGUGCAAUUAGACCGUGGCAGCCAUGCGGAAUAUAUGCAUGAAGCCGUGAGCAGUGAGCAGCUUACCUAUUUAUUAUUGUUGGCCUUUUCAGUUGGAUUUAGUAUAGCUGGUUUACCUGCUUCUCAGAUGACGAACAAAGACUAACAUUAUCUCUUUAUUCUUGCAUCUUAUACCCUCAGCUUGAGAAAAACAAACCUUAUCAUUUCCAUUUGUAGAGUUAAUAUCAUAUUUGAGGGAUCAGUUGGCACUCAUGCCUAAAAUGUGUUGUUUUUUCGCAUGCUUAAUUGUACACAGCUAGAUAGACAUGCAUAAGUAUUUAGGUUGAUGCACAAGUCAAUUUACAGUAGGAUUAUGAGGACAAUCAACUAAGCUCCAACAACUUAUCUGCUAUUUUCAGAUCAGCAAGGCAAGAAUAGCUUUAUUGUUUCUCUGUUCUUUCCUUAUUCUCACACAACAGAAAAACUAAAUUUAUUUCUUCUGCACUUUAUGUUUCUUAAUGUUGUCAGACUAAUACAGAAGAACAAAAAACUAACUGUUGAUGCUUUGUCUGUCCAGCUAGCCGGCAAGUCAGAUAAAAGUGCCAUCUGAUACGAGAAAGUACUACUGUUUACAUUUAUAAAAGAUACAUAAGUGUUAAUUUGGCAAGUCUGUUAGUUGAUAACCUUACCUGAUGUUAAGAGGGUGAGUGGUUAGUGUAAAAUAACUUUGAGAUCAUCUCCUUUUGCAGUUCUGACCAAUUUUUUCUUCACAUCAUUUUGAAAUUCUUAGUUUGUUUUUUGAGUUAUCCAUAUUGUACCCAUGUCAUGCUGAAUGAACGUGCAUGCUGUGAGAGAGAGAUGGAAACUGUAAUUCUUCAGUGUCAUUGUACAUUAUGUAGAGUUAUAUUUUGAAAAUCACUGUUUCGAUGUCUCAUCAAGGUUGAGGCUCAUAUUGUUUAAGAAUGUUGCUCACCAAUUCACCAUUGUUUUUGGGUGACCCAAUUUAUGUAAGCAUGUACAAAAUUAGACUACGAAACACAAACCAGAUAUAUUGGUUCACUAAACUCACAGUUAUCAGGGAGAAAUAACAUAAACUCUUUCGUUUCAAGCAUUUUUUCUUACUAAGUUUCCUAUAUCUAAUCUACUUCACACAUUAUAUAACUAUGAAACUGCUAAUAAUUAUUCACAACGGCAUCUCUAAAUUCAUCAUGAGAACAUGCUAUAUGUCUCUCUGACAAUGUGUCAUGAUGAUUUGGGCAUCUGGCUUAUCUUAAUGUUGUCAGACUGAUACAGAAGAACUGAAAACUAACUACAGUUUGGAUGUAACAACGUACACGGCAUAGCUUGACACCACGUAGAAGUCAGGAGAGCGCCCACGUCGCCUAGGUUGAAUUCAAGUUUUGCCUCCAUUUUAUCCAGAUCCUUGCUAUUGUGGUUAGGUUUUAGAGAUCAGAGUUGUUGUAUCUAUGCAAGUGAAGAGUACUCCAUCUAAAUUUGAUUGCAAAACAAACAACACGUUUUAACUACAUGCUUUUCAACUUCCUGUAGGAGGGUGAGUGGAUUAGUCGCCGAUUAGUGCCUUCACUGUUGUUGAAUAAACUGGCUUCAGCUCUGAUGCAUGUGAACUGUGAGGUGUUUUUGGUAUGGGAAUGAUGAGGUUUUGAUGGUCUAUACCUGAUUGCAAGGGUUGGGUAUGAAUUAAAUUUGCGUCCAAACUUGGCAAUUAUCUUCUAUGAAUUUAGGCAUUGUUCACAUGUCCUUUGAGUCAAACAGAAAUAUGCUUCAGAAAUGCUCCAAUUUGCUGCUUUUCACAUUUAGAGAAGGUUGUUUAUUUCGUAUUCAUCAGGUUAUGCUAAAGCAGAAGGCAUUGUGCUAACAUUUUUUAAGCCUUACUUGAUUUUGAUAUGUGGUUAGCCGUUUGCCCUUGCACCAAAAACAAACACUAUUCCUAUGUCUUACUUAGAAGCAAAGGUGCAUUAAUUAUUAACUGGUUGAUAUAUGUUCCAUGGUGGGUGGCAUAGAAAACAAAGCUUCUUUCUAAGACAUGAUGUUCUGUUACUAGCAAAAAAGUGUUAGAAUUUAUAAGUACUUAUUCAAAGAAAAUAAAAACUGACUGGAGAACUGUUUGCUUCUACCAUUCCUUUCAAGUUAAGGCAAAAAUCAUAUUGGCAUGUAGCUUGUGCUCCUGCAGAGUUCUUUUUGUUUUGAUUUUCUGUAAUGUUAAAGGCAUAUCGAAUAAUGAAAUUGCAAUAGUUAUGAUCCCUAGGCCCGACAAAAAACUGACGAGAGUAUUAGGUGGUGGCAGGUAUCAGGCUACAACAGCUGAAUUGCAAGUCUUCUGAUGAGCUUCUGCGGCAAGGAGGAGCAAUCUUACAGUGCAAAGAUGAAGAAGGGGCAAUUCCUCUUCAUGGUGCUUGUGCUUGGGGGUAUGCAUUAUUUAUUUGCAUUGAGCUUAUACUUCAUUGCCCCAAGGAGAAGGUUUCAUGCCCCAAGAAGUAGAAUACAUACAGAUAGGCACCCAUCGGGAUCAAGAAACCAAAGUCUGGGCCCUGUUAACUACUCCCUCCAUUCCAAAAUAGAUGACCCAACUUUGUACUAACUUUGUACUAAAGUUAAUACAAAGUUGAGUCGUCUAUUUUGGAAUGGAGGGAGUACAAAGCAAGUCGAUGCCAUCAUACAUAUGACAAACUGAUGGGCCUGUCAGAGCGAACCCCUGGUUGAGAUUUGUCAAAAGACUGGGCGGUAAACUGAGUGGUAGUCUUAGUAUCUUAAUACACAACUUGCGUACUAUGGGAAUUGUGUUUAUGUUGUUAUGGGAUUAUGGAGUUAUGAUCUAAAAAAAUUAUGGAGUUAUAAUCUAAAAAAGAACUAUGGAGUUGUGUGCAAAGAAAGGACAUAAUGUUUCUCAAAUUGCCCUUUGUAUCUCUAUGUUUUGCACUUUAUCAAAGGCGCAAUUAGUUGAGCUCUCAAGCCAAGUUUUUCCAGCAUGAUUUCACUUAUGGUUCCUUGCAAGAAUUUUGAAGGAAAUAUUUCGCCUAUGACAACCUAGAACUUGCUAGCUGUGUAGUCCGUUGUUUACCAUGGUAGGGUGAUAUCCUAUUUUUUUUCUAAGUAGAUGUAGUUAUAUUUUGAUAUGGUCUAAUACAUCUCAUUUCCUAAAUUGAAUAAUACAUAUCUUCUACAAAAUUAAAUAUCAAGAAACUAGAUGCAAAUUAAUUGUGAAAUAGCACCACUAAUUUAAUGGUGCAAUCUAAAGAAGAACGGUUGAACAAUUGUUUUUUUAUCAAGCAAUUCGGUGACAACAGUCAACAGUGCCAAGGUUCAGUUCAUCAAGGAGAGAACUACUCGUACAAUGUCCAUUGAUACAACACCCUGGCCAGGCAAACAAAAGACAUGCGUUGCAUGUGCUGCUUACUAGUCUUGCUUAAGGCGUUACUCUGUUUUUAACUUAAUACUUUAGAUGCAUGCUCGAUAGCUAUCGAUGAGUGGAGUAAUAGUAGUAGAUGCAGGCAGGAGUCGGUCUACUUGUCUCAGACGUGAUGCCUAUAUACAUGAUCAUACCUAGAUAUUUUCAUAACUAUGCUUAAUUUUGUCAAUUGCUUAAUAGUAAUUUGCUCA